rnacentral:rRNA from 1 species
CCUACGGGAGGCAGCAGUGGGGAAUAUUGCACAAUGGGCGAAACCCUGAUGCAGCGACGCCGCGUGAGCGAAGAAGUACUUCGGUAUGUAAAGCUCUAUCAGCAUGGAAGAAAAUGACGGUACCUGUAUCAAAAGCUCCGGAUAAUAACGUGACAGCAGCCGCCGGAAUACGGCUGGCGCCAGGGUUAUCCGGAUUUACUGGGCGUAAAGGGAACGUAGGAGGGCUGUCGAGUCUGGUGUGAAAGCCCGGGGCUCAACCCGGGCGCUGCAUUUGAAACUGGAAGGCUUGAGUGACGUAGAGGCAGGCGGAAGUCCUGGUGUAGCGGUGAAAUGCGUAGAGAUCAGGAGGAACACCGGUGGCGAAGGCGG